rnacentral:rRNA from 1 species
AACGAACGCUGGCGGCAGGCUUAACACAUGCAAGUCGAACGCAUCCUUCGGGGUGAGUGGCAGACGGGUGAGUAACGCGUGGGAACGUGCCCUUCAGUUCGGGAUAACCCAGGGAAACUUGGGCUAAUACCGGAUACGUGCGAGAGCAGAAAGAUUUAUCGCUGAAGGAUCGGCCCGCGUCUGGUUAGCUGGUUGGUGGGGUAAUGGCACACCGAGGCGACGGUCAGAAGCUGGUCUGAGGGGAUGAUCAGCCACAUUGGGACUGGGACACGGCCCAACUCCCUCCGGGAGGCAGCGGUGGGGAAUAUUGGACAAUGGGCGCAAGCCUGAUCCAGCCAUGCCGCGUGAGUGAUGAAGGCCUUAGGGUUGUAAAGCUCUUUCGUCCGGGACGAUAAUGACGGUACCGGAAGAAGAAGCCCCGGCUAACUUCGUGCCAGCCGCCGCCGUAA